rnacentral:rRNA from 1 species
GACGAACGCUGGCGGCGUGCUUAACACAUGCAAGUCGAACGGAAAGGCCCCUUUGGGGGUCCUCGAGUGGCGAACAGGUGAGUAACACGUGAGUAACCUGCCCUUGACUUCGGGAUAACUUCAGGAAACUGGGGCUAAUACCGGAUAGGAAUCCUUGCUGCAUGGUGGGGGUUGGAAAGCUUCGGCGGUUUUGGAUGGACUCGCGGCUUAUCAGCUUGUUGGUGGGGUAGUGGCUUACCAAGGCUUUGACGGGUAGCCGGCCUGAGAGGGCGACCGGCCACAUUGGGACUGAGAUACGGCCCAGACUCCGACGGGAGGCAGCAGUGGGGAAUAUUGCACAAUGGGCGGAAGCCUGAUGCAGCAACGCCGCGUGCGGGAUGACGGCCUUCGGGUUGUAAACCGCUUUCAGCAGGGGCGAAGCUUGUGGUGACGGUACCUGCAGAAGAAGCACCGGCUAACUACGUG